UUGUCACUCCCUCCGUCCGGAAAAAGUUGUCCUAAAGAUGAAUGUAUCAAGACUUAUUUUAGUUAUAGAUACAUCCAUUAUAUCCAUUUCUAGGACAAGUAUUUCCGGACGGAGGGAGUAUUAU
rnacentral:pre_miRNA from 1 species